ensembl:processed_transcript 5530601H04Rik RIKEN cDNA 5530601H04 gene
UACGGCCUGAGAAUUUUGUUCCAGCACCGGUGUGAGGAAAACAUCUGAGCCCAUGAAUUGCCAGACCCUGGAUACCUGAGACACAUCCACUUGCUUCUCAGAUUGGACAUCUGUGGGCUUCCCUUGGCAGUGAGGUUUGGAGUGCAUAAUGAGGAGAAAUAAACACAGAAAGAUCUCCAGAAAGAAGCCAUGGUAAGAUUCAAGGUUUCACAGUCCAAGCUAAUGCCUGUGGACACUUGACCAAGUGAUCUGAGAAAAUUGGAUUCCUGGCAAAACAAGUGUACCUAGACUCAGGCAAGGGUGGAGAACAGAGGGCGUCUAGAUUAAAUGGAAAGAAUGCCCAGGCAUCCCAUUGCCUCCCUUUGAUGUUCCAGAACUUCGUCAAGACAGUGAUGAGCUACAUGUACACCUGGAGGAGGACCAUGCAGAAUACCAUCCAGCGCCAUGAACACUAGUCAGUCAGUCAGUAAUGGUGAACUUCUCGUUGUGCUCCAGCUCAAUUUUCUCAUGUUUGAUGGUAGUUCAGGAUCAAGCUCAGAAGCGCACAGCUGCCAGCAAGCAGUCUACUACUGAACUGCACCAUCUCUCCAGCCCGUGCUUACUCUUGAAUAGCCCCAAAGUAGUCAAUGG